AGGUUUCCGUAGGUGAACCUGCGGAAGGAUCAUUAACGAGUAAACUUGAAACAGGUUGUAGCUGGCCCCUUUCGCGGGGGGCAUGUGCACGCCUGGCUCAUCCACUCUUCACAACCUCUGUGCACUCAUUGUAGGUCGGUGGAAAAGGGGCAAAGGUGGGGUGGUUCCUUUUAGUAGGAUAAAAAUCCCCUUUGCUCUCGGAAGCCUUCCUAUGUUUUUACUACAAACGCUUUAGUUUAAGAAUGUAAUCUUUGCGUAUAACGCAUCUAUGUACAACUUUCAGCAACGGAUCUCUUGGCUCUCGCAUCGAUGAAAAACGCAGCGAAAUGCGAUAAGUAAUGUGAAUUGCAGAAUUCAGUGAAUCAUCGAAUCUUUGAACGCACCUUGCGCUCCCUGGUAUUCCGGGGAGCAUGCCUGUUUGAGUGUCAUGGUAUUYUCAACCUUCAUAACUUUUUUUUUGGGUUAUCGAAGGCUUGGACUUGGAGGUUUGUGCUGGCUACUUGCUUAGCCGGCUCCUCUUAAAUGCAUUAGCGUGAGUGUAACAGAUCGCUUCGGUGUGAUAAUUAUCUGCGCCGUGGGUCGUGAAGUUAACAUGAGCUUGCGCUUCUAACCGUCCUUCAGCUGGACAAACACAUUUGUGUUUACUUAUGACAAUCUGACCUCAAAUCAGGUAGGACU
rnacentral:rRNA from 1 species